rnacentral:lncRNA from 1 species
UUUCUUAUUCCUUUUUCAGCUAGGAUAGUGUGUUGUGCCCACUGUUGGUCUUGACCAUGUUUGGCCAGGAUGCUAAUUGCCACUGAACGCAAUCAAAGAGGGCUGUCCCUAAAAAUGCUUUGCUUUUUUUUUUUUCCCAAAAAACUCUAAUUUGUAUCUUAAAAUGCGAUUCUAACAAUUCCAACAAUUAGAUUCUAGUGUCUUAGCAAUUGAUUUUUACAUAAUUGGAGCAAUGGCACCUAAUUAGGCAUGGUUCUAUAUUAUCAAGCUUUUUUCUUGUUCUUUUGGCAAAGGAGCUAAGUGUAACUAUUCUGGAAAAAUGUAUAGUGGUCCACCAAAAUGA